AAUUUUUUUUUUAAUCAUAUGCCUAAAUGAUGUUCUUCGAGGUAAUUCGGACAGUGUUACUGGUAUAAACAAAAUAAUGAAGACUAAAACACUUUAUAAACGCCAGACAGCCAAUAAUGAUGGGACAAAUAAAGAAACAAAAUUUAAAACACAGUUCUUAACCAACUUAGUCAAGAAUGGGCUGAACGUUUGGCCGAGGAGGACAAAGCAUAUCAUAGAGAGAACAAUACAAAUGGCGAAAAUCUAUAUUGGCUUUUACAUCCAAGUAUAAAAUUAUCUUUGAAUAACGUCAGUGAUUUAGCAGUAGAAACCUGGUACAACGGAAUUCAAUUUAUAAAAUUUAGCUGGAAGGAAUCUCAUAUGGCUAUCGCUAACAAAGCUCAGUUGAAAUCGGACCAUCUUAAGUAGACAUCAUUUUGUUAGGAUUUAAAGCGUCCAAAAAAACCUACCACCGCUUUCAAUCCCCUUAAAUCAUAAAUACUAUUUCAGUCAGAUGAUUUGGAAGGACAGUAAGGAGUUGGGAACAGGAGCAGCUAUAAGUAAAAGAGGUUGUAUAUAUUUUGUGUGCAAUUACAACCCACCGG